AUGCUCCGGCGACGCACCCAGGCAGCGGGGAAGCCGCUCGUGCCUCCGACCGCAUCCAGCCCUCGGGAGCCGCGCUCCGGGGCAGGGUGGCAGCUGCACCGCGUCGACCUGCUCCGGCGUGUCCUGCCACCUCUGCGCCCGCCGCCAGCCCCGGGGGCCGGGGAGCCUGGAGCUGCCAGGAAACGUGGCUGAUUCAAGCAGCGGGAAUGCAGACACCAGCGCUGCCUGGGCUGGGUUGUUUCUUUUUUUUUUUGCUCCUCCGCUAUAUCCCGCAAGCUGGCGGAAAGACCCGAAGCAAAGCCCCAGCUCGUAAAUCCUCGCCGCUGCCAGAGCCCGGAGGCUUUUCUUCCCUAUGUCAAAGCGGGUAAUCGAAUCCCCUCCAACACGUUUUUAAUUAGCAUCCUGCUCCAGCAUCCCGGCCCGACGCUGCUCAAAUCCCUGGGAAAGGCCGGGAUGCUCCCGGCAGCGGCAGACGUCGGCACACGGAGCCACUCAAGCCAAGAAGGGCCGGAGAGGAGCCCUUGGCCCGUGCGCCCGGUUUAGCCCAACGACCCGGUUGCCUUCAAUCCCGGUCGGGCUCGCGAGAAGGAUCAAACCCCGCACCGAAGAGGUAAAACUGGGAAUUAUACACGGAGGAAAAAAAGAAAUCUGGAAACCCCCUGUUGCAAUCCAGCGCAGGUUCCCUAAGGAGCAGAGCACCAGGCACGUGGGCUUUCCGUUGCUGCCGGUGGAGAAGCUUCAGCCCGGAGGACGUUUUUGGGUUCUCUGAAAGAGCUGUCUUCAGAUCUGGGCUAAAUUACGCCUCGGCAGGCUGUCAUUAAUCAGAAAAGGAGCAGGACAACUGGGUUCGUUUUGCAGCUGCCGUGACCCAUGGAGCUUCCUGCGGCGCUGCUUCACGCUCGCCGGGGAUCUGGCCACUGAACCAAAAGGCGUUUUUAAAAGGGAAAACAGCACCCUCGUGCCUGGGCUGGUGGUGCAUUUUGCAAAAACGGCAGGGCAUUUUGCAAAAUAUAUUUGCAACUACUCCCUUUUGACAUUUUUGAGGGGAAAAAAAAGAAAAGGAGCGAUAUCAUGGGCUGUCUUGUGCUCCAGCUUGCCCAGAUUUUUACACUGGGGUAAAACUGGGCUCCUUUAGGGUCUGCCUUACUGCUGCCUCCAAACGCCCCGGCUGGACCUGCAUGCGAGAGCCCGGCGUUGGCACCGGCCGAUGCUGGUAGCUGCGUAGAGCAGAGUGAGCCGCUAUCAAUUAUAGGGUGUUAUUUAAGGAAAGACGCAGCUUUUCCGUUGCUCAGCUCUCUGCGCUCGUUCCCGCUCGGCGGGAGGGCAGCGGUGGUUUCCAGCUUUAGCAAUAGUGAUUUCUUCCCUUUGGGGUUUCCGUGGCCCUUCCAAGGCAGGAGGAGCAACUGCGCUGAAACUGCUUUAAACCUUUAAACAGCAUCAGCUCACCCCUCACCCAGCGCCGUGAGUGAGCGCCGGGUGCCUACUGCCCCUCGGGCAACAUCCAGGCCUUUUCCCCCCUUUUUUUUCCCCCUUUCCUUUUUUCGAGUACCGGAAAGCCCAGCUAGGAUGCAAAGAGCCGUUCCCACGGCAUCCACGGUGAGCCGCAUCCCGACCCUGCUCCGGGGAGAGGGACUCCUUCUCCUGGCACCCAAGCUCUUGCAGUGGCAGUGGUGGGUUUCUUUCCCUUUUUUUUCUUUUCAGGGUUGUGAAACACUUCCACCGAAAACCACUUGGGAAAGCCCAAUCCAAACAAAGCCAUUAAAUUUCCCCAGCUCGGGCCGCCUCGGGCCCCCGCAUUGCCGGGGGGGAUUUCCCGCGGGACAGGCUCCUCGCACUGUGAUUCAGGGCCCGUCCGGUUCUCCUUGAGCCGAGCGGGGCACAAAUCCCCCGCUCGCGUUGCUAUUCUGCAAAACAGCUGCUGAUUUCUGCGUAAUCCCCCUCCAAACAGACAUGCCGAAAUUCCCCAAAAUUGGGUUUCUGCCAGGCCAGGCAAGAAGCUGCCCCGCUUCAUCUCUCCAGGCAGAGGGACUCCCGGCAGUCUGGUGAAACGCUCGGCCCUAGCGAGGGGCUUGCAGCUGAGCUGGGGGAAAAAAAAUUAAAUAUUUGGAUGGAUGAAAUGCAGAGGAGGGGGAAAAAUCCCUCCUGGAACAGGAUGGCCCCGAACGAUGUUUCUGGGUGCCGGGGAACGGCUGCAUCGCGGCGCGGCGCUGGGCUCCCGCACCUCUCGCGGACGGCAUUCCCGCGGCUCGGCCGCGCCGGCUCCCGGCUCCGUCGUCGGCUUUGCAUCCCGGGCGGCUGGAGAGCAGGGACGAAGGGGGAUCUCUCUAGCCCGGAGUUAAACCGUGCACGUGUAUAAUGAAGCACGGGCUGAGCAGCCCAGCAGCAAGCCAUGCUUUUUAUUAAAAGCCCGUGCUUUUUAUUAAAGACGUUUUUUAUUAAACGGGUCAAAAUUCCCACGAAUUUCCCCCCUCCCCAGGAAACACGCGCGCAGGGAAAUCAAAGCCGCCGGAGGCUCCAUCGAUGCCAGGACGGCGGCGGCUGCACGCGCGUUACGGAGCGGGCCGGCGGCAUCGGGGCUGAUGAAGGAGGAAAACAUCCCAAACACGUCCGUGCGGGUUUGGGCAAGCGCCAGGGCUGGGCCCGGAGGAGGCGGCUGGCGGGCGGCGGGGAACACGGAUCCGUCGCAGCUGUGGGGCCGGGGGGAGCAGGCAGGCUCGGCACGUCCCCCCCUUAUUGCUGCCACCUCCAAAGGCGCCAAGAAGGGGCUGAACCUUGCAGAAAGGAGGCCAGAAAGGAGAAAUCCCCAUUGCUUUGCCAGCGGCAUUGCCCCUCGCCGGUCCCUCUCCAGAGCCGCAGCAGCGGGGAUGGAGUCGCUGGUGCUCGCUGCACCGGGCGCCCGCUCGAAUCCCGACGGCUGCCCCCAUGCAAGUGCCCAGCAUCACAUUUUCAAGCUCGUGAAAAGGAAAAAUAAAAAUAAUG